rnacentral:rRNA from 1 species
UUUCGACCUGAACUCAGACGAGAACACCCGCUG